rnacentral:tRNA from 1 species
UAUGGCAGANAUUAUGCAAUGAACUUAAAAUUCAUUUAUAAAGAAUAAUCUUUUUUUAGAAA